UGGCACAUUCACAGGGGAGGAGACUUAGUUACAUCUUCAUUUUGCUAUCGCUCUGCGCCCACAGCGAGGGCAGAGAUUGCUGCAGCCGGUCUGAGUAUCUGUCCAGGAGUCACAGGAAGGAUGACCAAUGCACACCUCUGCUGCUCCUCACUCUCGAAACGUAGCCACGACACCCUCUUACCUCCCGGUUUACACAGAUAUUCCGCUCUGCUGCCGCUCCCCACAACGUUAGAACGUAUAAACAUUUAAAUUUACAAGUCGUGUGUCACCACACCACUAAUGCUGCAAUCAAUAGGCAUGAGUCCAACUUGAUUCCGGGUGGGGAAAGGCGGCGCGAGCAAGUUUACACCCCAGAAAACUUGGGCGAGGGGAGGAGACGGGACAGACACACCUUCAUGAAAAACCUGGGAAUGGUGACUUUUAAUGCGGGCCGCUGCUGGGGGACUGUAGUUGGGACGCCUUUGGCCAGCAUAGAAGACCUUGCCUCUGCGUAGGAAGUCGAGAGUGUGGUAGCAGCGCUGGGAAGACGCGGGUCCACGGGGAGGAAAUCAAUGUUGACUUGUUGACCAGGAUCUGGGACAUCGUCGUUUAGCUUCACUCUUGGCACUGCACCAGAGGAUGAAACUAUGGGUCUGGGACAGUCGUGCCUGGGUGGUUGCAGAUUAUGUUUACAAGGCGAAUGUGCCGACGGCAACAGUUCAGCAGAGACUCGCCUCCAAGUCCCUGAUAUCAUAGUAACGCCUCCGACACCCACCGUUCUCUCAACAGCCGGGGCCUUGAGGCAGGCUGAUGGGGACUCUCUGCUAGACGACACUCUCCCGAACAGAUGUUAGCUACAAAAAAAAAAUAUAUUUAUGCAAAAGCCGAAGCACCGAGAUCACAUCAAGAAUGCUUCUUGUUUGUAGAAGCGUUAAGAACAGAUUGCACAGUCACCAUCUGCCUCAUUUCACUUUGUGUUUGAAUGAUAGACUAUACACAGAUUUAUCCAUUGAUCUGGGAUUUUUUUUUAACUUUUUAAAAAUGAAUUCUAAUGACAGCAGCAAUAUUGAGCCUGGAUUUAAAACUUAACCAUGUGCAAAAAAUACAGACUACUGCCUGUCUGAUCUGUGCCUUGCAAGUCGUUCACUUCCUCUUUCUGGUGGGGCCCUGCAUACUUCUCCUUCCCACCAUCCAUCUGCCCAAGUGCAGCACCUUCAUAAGUUAUUAUCUGCAAGCUACAAGUGCAAAUUGUUGUUACUGUUAUUUAGCAGCUCCGCUUUCUGAAGUAUGGCAACGAACUAAAGAGGAAUUCUGUUUCAAGCAACACUGAAACCAAACCAUCAGUUCACACCUAACUUGUUUUGACCUAGUGCUUGCCUUGAACUUGUGAGAAGACCAAAGACGAUUUCAAUAAUGCAAUAAGAUUAUCAACAUGCAAAGAUUACUGCAGAACUGCAAAGGAAGGCCAGAUGGAGUGCCAUUUCAUUCUGAUACUGUUGAUGCCUAAAGGAAUUUUUCAUGGAGUGGCAGACAGAUGGAAGUUUUUAAUUCACAUUGACAGGCAACAGAUGGCAAAAGGUGUAAUCUACAAGCACAUGAUUCCAAAGAUGUUUUCCUUAAAAAUGUCAGCAACCAAAUGGAAAACGGAGUCUCUCAAUCCAACCUGCCUCUCCAAUUCAUCAGAAACUGAAAUCCAAUCUCAUUUGUUUUAAGGCAAAUGAGAUGCUACACUUUUGAGUUGAAGAUGUACGCAGCAACAAACGUGAAGAUCUGUUCUCACUCAGCCUGCAUUAGAGAAUGCCAUUGUUAGGGUUGCAAAUCUGGCUUUUAUAUUUCUUGUAUUUUUAUGAUUGGAAACAGUGCACUUUUUGUGUUAUUGAUAGGUUAUCAAAGCUACUGUGCUUGUGAACAUAUAAAAAAUCCAUUGAUGUUCACUCUUGCAUAGUGCCCUAGUUGCUCAUUGUAUCAACUUAAGUGGCACUGAGCCACACUGGUGGAGAAGGUCCCUGACCUCUUUGGAGAUAACAAUUGACAUCAAUGCCCUUUGACUAGGAAAAGGAUGGAGAUCACCUGGAGGUACUCAUUGAUGCCCCCUGACUUGUGUUAGAGAGUGGCUAUUGGAUGAGGAUAGGGACUGCCUCACCUAAUGCUCAAUAUGGUCAAGUUGUCCAAUGCUAGCUAUGGUGUAGGCCCCAGCAUGAAGAAUAUUUAGGUUAGGUGACAUUUAACAACAUUGCUUAUGACACCAUAGCUCUGCAUCCAUCAUCCAUGGACGUAGACGGCAGAGAGUAAAAUGAAUGCUAUCCAUCUGUACCCAACGAGGGUCUCAUCUUUAUUACGUUAAAAUGCAGUUUGUCUCUUUUAUAUUGGAGUGUAUACUUUUGGAAGCAAUAUCUAGGUAACAUCAGAAAAGGACAGAAGAUGUAACUGCUUUUGCAUCAUCAGAGAUAAUGGGAUUUCCUUUUUAAAAACACAGCAUUCAAGUGGUUUUACUAUGCACGUCAGCAACAGUUACUGCUUCACAAUCUGCAGGCGUUCUAUAACUCCAUGUAUUCCAGGUCCUAGGCUGAUGUACUCAUUGAACUGCAGUAAAAUGGUUUGGUUGAACUGGUCAACUCCAGUCUGUCAGCUCUUGAGAUGCUGAAAGAAGCCAGCAUCAAAUCAGUUCACAAACUGGUCCCUUUGCUGACUUGGUGGAUUCUUGCAGUGCCUCCUGGAAUACUGAGUGGUACAGAUCCAUGUGGUCCCAAUCCUUUCAUUUCAAACCAAGUUGAAAUGGUGCAACAGUCACAACUGGUGUCAGUUCCUUUAGCCUAGAAAAAGUAAAUUUAUCCAGAUUCUGAGGUAGAUCAUCCAUUGAUUUCUGUGGGAAAUGUGGGCGCAUAGGCUUGGACUUAAUCAUGAUGCCUUCCACCAAUAGUUUGGAUUCCCAUAUAAAGCACAGCCUAUCAUGUAAGGCACCUUUGAAUAGACAGUCCACAAUGUAACAAUAAAUAGAGCUAGCACCUUCAGGAGAGAUGGGCACCCAACAUGAUUUUUUUUUAAUUUAAAUGAAAUUCAUAAUCCUGUGCCAUAACUGCAGCUUGAAAUGUUAUCUUUUUUUAGGGCUUCACAUUUAAAAAUUAUAUUUGUAAAUGAUAUAAUUAAAUGAGUAC